GAUGAACGCUGGCGGCGUGCCUAAUACAUGCAAGUCGAGUGAACAGACGAGGAGCUUGCUCCUCUGACGUUAGCGGCGGACGGGUGAGUAACACGUGGAUAACCUACCUAUAAGACUGGGAUAACUUCGGGAAACCGGAGCUAAUACCGGAUAAUAUAUUGAACCGCAUGGUUCAAUAGUGAAAGACGGUUUUGCUGUCACUUAUAGAUGGAUCCGCGCCGCAUUAGAUAGUUGGUAAGGUAACGGCUUACCAAGGCAACGAUGCGUAGCCGACCUGAGAGGGUGAUCGGCCACACUGGAACUGAGACACGGUCCAGACUCCUACGGGAGGCAGCAGUAGGGAAUCUUCCGCAAUGGGCGAAAGCUUGACGGAGCAACGCCGCGUGAGUGAUGAAGGUCUUCGGAUCGUAAAACUCUGUUAUUAGGGAAGAACAAAUGUGUAAGUAACUAUGCACGUCUUGACGGUACCUAAUCAGAAAGCCACGGCUAACUACGUG
rnacentral:rRNA from 1 species